GGGUUUGGAUUGGGUUCCCUUGGCUUAAGAAAAACAAAGUCAGGAGGGUUCCCUUUGUAAAUAAAUAUCCCAAUCAGCCAAAUAGCUCUCUACUCUUUCCUUUAUCUUUUGAACAUCUCUUUUGCAUGAGGAUGAUGCUGAUGCUGAUGCUGAUGAUGGUUACCAAGAUCUAAAAGAAUCGAAACCAGUCACUGUUUGCCGAUGGAGCACCAUCAAGAUUCACAAACUUUAUUAGGGCUAAUAAGUGGUGAUGAUGGUGGCUUUUGGUGGUCCCUUCGUUUCAACCCAAUAGCCAUUUGAAUUGGGAAUCUUGAUGAUGCUGCAGCGGCAAUAAAUGGCUUAUUUAUCUCCCUUUUCAUCUUUACCGGCUCCCAAAGGUGAAGGUGAACUCUCUAAAUAGUUUGGAACGUAUACCUUAUCGGCUUAUAUUUCUGAGUUUAAUUUAUAUUGUCAAUAGAACAGCACUCUUUAAGUUUAUGACGUUGCUAUUCACUAAUAAAUUUGUUUUGGGCAAUUUAAAUUCACUAAUACUUGUUAGGGUUUGUUCUGUUUAACCCCAACUUGCACAAGGGUUUGUGUUAAGCAGCUUCGGUUAUGAUCCAAUUGGAAAUACGGUGCAAAUCUGUGUUAACUGAAGAGAUUUGUAUCUGUAGUGAUGAUUCUCUGUGAGUGCUUUUCUCUGACUUGCUUUUCUCGGGUGAUUUUUAGUACUGCAUGCCACCACUUGAUCUGAUCUCAGUAAGUAUAUAUGUCUGUACUUCGGUAGGAAUAUUGUACAUUAUUAAACAUCGUGGGCAUCUUUUAUUUCUCAGAUACAUGGUGUUUCUUUAGUUUUCGCCCUGUAAAUCUUUCUUCUCUUUUGGUUCUUUCUCUAGAUCUUGAUCAUCAUUUUCACCUGUGUAUUAUGCGUGCAAGUUUUCAGAUUGACGACAAUGCUUUAAUUAUACCUGGUUUAUGGCAGGGAAUUUUUCCGAUUUGGCUUUUCAGUUUCUUAUCAAUGUUCUUGGUAUACAUUUGAGAAUAAAAAGAAGGAAAUACCAUAUAUUCUUCUAAGAAUAUUCAUGGAAACUAUGAUUUUGUUCUUCAGGUUCAGCAAAGAUCUUCCCAAUGAAUGAGGAAUGCUUCAACUACGUACCCUAAUUAAUUUCUUGUUAUAAGGGAUUGCUAAUUCUGUUCUUUAAUACCUAUUGCUUGACAGAGUACUUGGUAUGUGUUUGAGGUGCCUAUCUGAGUUCUUAUCCACUACUUUAGCUAAGCUUUUAAUCCGUACUAGAACUCUUUUUCUUCAGAACAUUUCAAGAUUGCCUAAUUUUUUGGCUUUUGUUUUCUUUUAUUACAUUUUCUUCAUUUAGGUGGCAUUUCUUUUUGUUCACUGUAAGACCAAUAUUCGAAUGUUGAACGUCUUUUUAGGGAUUAAUGUUAAUUGCUCCAUCUCAUUUAUGUUGCAUAUUUAAUUUGAAUCCAGGUAAAUUGACUUCCAAGGAAGAACCUGAAUUAUUUGAUUAUUGAUCUUGAAAGGAGUAGAUAAUGUAUAUAAACUCUCCAUGAAUUUGUUGUAAUCUAACAUUUUAUCAAUAAAAUUCUAAUCUUAUUUUGAAUUUCUUGAGUGAUGUAUUUAAUUUUCUUCCCACAGCUUCAUUGAUAAUUAAGACCCGAUUAUUUUUAAAUGUUUAGUUGAAAACUUUAAGCUCUCACUUCAGGAUCUAUUUCCUGACAGUUUGUUUUUUUCUUUUCUUUUCUUUUUCCUUUUCCCUUGCUGUGUCGUGAAUAUCAUGCAUAACCAAAAUUCAGGCCAGACAUGGGAGGUUUCUUUCUUUCCUGCCUGCAGAUAUUCCUGUGAUGUUUAAUUUUUAUGCAAGUCUGAGUCCCCAGAAGAACAACUGUGAAUAAAUAGGGGGUCCUAGCUGAUCAUCAUGAUGUUGUAUUAAUACAUGUAUAUUUGAAUCAUAAUCUGAUGAUUUUUGGUUCUUGGUUCUUUUGCA